GAACGAACGCUGGCGGCGCGCCUAAUACAUGCAAGUCGAGCGAGAAGACGUAGCAAUACGUUUGUAAAGCGGCGAACGGGUGAGGAAUACAUGGGUAACCUACCCUCGAGUGGGGAAGUAACUAGCCGAAAGGUUAGCUAAUACCGCGUACGCUCCUUGGACUUCGGUUCAGGGAGGAAAGGCGAUACCGUGGGUAUCGCGCUCUUGGAUGGGCUCAUGUCCUAUCAGCUUGUUGGUGAGGUAACGGCUCACC
rnacentral:rRNA from 1 species